UACGUAGGGGGCAAGCGUUGUCCGGAUUUAUUGGGCGUAAAGAGCGUGUAGGCGGCCACACAGGUCAGCUGUGAAAACUCGAGGCUCAACCUCGAGACGUCGGUUGAAACCGUAUGGCUAGAGUCCGGAAGAGGAGAGUGGAAUUCCCGGUGUAGCGGUGAAAUGCGCAGAUAUCGGGAGGAACACCUGUGGCGAAAGCGGCUCACUGGACCACAACUGACGCUGAGGCGCGAAAGCUAGGGGAGCAAACAGG
rnacentral:rRNA from 1 species